rnacentral:rRNA from 2 species
CAACAUUGAAAUACUACCCGAUGGUGACUGCGACUCUCACUCCUGGCGGAGGACACUGGUAGCCGGGCAGUUUGACUGGGGCGGUACGCGCCUGAAAAGAUAUCGGGCGCGCCCCAAGAUUUCCUCAUCCGCGUCGGAGACGCGGAAAAGAGCGCAAGAGCAAACGGAAGUCUGACAGUGUCCGGCACAACGACGGACGCUGACGCGAAAGCGUGGUCUAGCGAACCAAUUAGGCUGCUUGAUGCGGCCAAUUGCUGACAGAAAAGCUACCUUAGGGAUAACAGAGUCGUCACCCGCAAGAGCACAUAUCGACCGGGUGGCUUGCUACCUCGAUGUCGGUUCCCUCCAUCCUGCCCGUGCAGAAGCGGGCAAGGGUGAGGUUGUUCGCCUAUUAAAGGAGGUCGUGAGCUGGGUUUAGACCGUCGUGAGACAGGUCGGCUGCUAUCUAUUGGGGGUGUUACGGUAUCUGACGGGAACGUUCGUAUAGUACGAGAGGAACUACGAAUGGGUGCCACUCGUGUACCAGCUGUCCGAAAGGGCACGUGCUGGGCAGCGACGCACCACGGGGUAAGAGCUGAACGCAUCUAAGCUCGAAACCCACCUGAAAAAGAGAUACCACNCUGAGGCCACUCGUAGAAGACGAGAUCGAUAGACUCGGGGUGUACGCACCAAGGCAACGAGGUGUUGAGCCCGCGAGAACUAA